UAUACAUGCAGUCGAGCGAAUCGAUGGGAGCUUGCUCCCUGAGAUUAGCGGCGGACGGGUGAGUAACACGUGGGCAACCUGCCUAUAAGACUGGGAUAACUUCGGGAAACCGGAGCUAAUACCGGAUACGUUCUUUUCUCGCAUGAGAGAAGAUGGAAAGACGGUUUACGCUGUCACUUAUAGAUGGGCCCGCGGCGCAUUAGCUAGUUGGUGAGGUAAUGGCUCACCAAGGCGACGAUGCGUAGCCGACCUGAGAGGGUGAUCGGCCACACUGGGACUGAGACACGGCCCAGACUCCUACGGGAGGCAGCAGUAGGGAAUCUUCCGCAAUGGACGAAAGUCUGACGGAGCAACGCCGCGUGAACGAAGAAGGCCUUCGGGUCGUAAAGUUCUGUUGUUAGGGAAGAACAAGUACCAGAGUAACUGCUGGUACCUUGACGGUACCUAACCAGAAAGCCACGGCUAACUACGUGCC
rnacentral:rRNA from 2 species